CUACGUGCCAGCAGCCGCGGUAAUACGGAAGGUCCAGGCGUUAUCCGGAUUUAUUGGGUUUAAAGGGAGCGUAGGCGGAUUGUUAAGUCAGCGGUUAAAGGGUGUGGCUCAACCAUACAUUGCCGUUGAAACUGGCGAUCUUGAGUGCAGACAGGGAUGCCGGAAUUCGUGGUGUAGCGGUGAAAUGCUUAGAUAUCACGAAGAACUCCGAUCGCGAAGGCAGGUGUCCGGGCUGCAACUGACGCUGAGGCUCGAAAGUGUGGGUAUCAAACAGGAUUAGAUACCCUGGUAGUCCACACAGUAAACGAUGUAUACUCGCGGUUUGCGAUAGACAGUAAGCCGCCAAGCGAAAGCAUUAAGUAUACCACCUGGGGAGUACGCCGGCAACGGUGAAACUCAAAGGAAUUGACGGGGGSCCGCACAAGCGGAGGAACAUGUGGUUUAAUUCGAUGAUACGCGAGGAACCUUACCCGGGAUUGAA
rnacentral:rRNA from 1 species